GCGCUCUUAGUUCAGUUCGGUAGAACGUGGGUCUCCAAAAAAAACCCGAUGUCGUAGGUUCAAAUCCUACAGAGCGUG
rnacentral:tRNA from 1 species